AUGAUAGCCAAAGAGGAGAAAGAGCUGGUGCCGCAGCUGCGGUUCCCGGCGGGAUACCACUUCCGGCCAACCGACGAGGAGCUCCUCGACGUCUACCUCCGCGCCAAGAUCGACGGACGGGAGCCGCCGCUGGACGUGUUCAUGGACGUGGACAUCCUCGACUGGGACCCCGCCGAGCUCGUCGAGAAGCGCAAGGCCUACGGGGAGGGCAGAUACUUCUUCACGAAAAGAACUGAGUGUCCGGCGAACAAGAACGGCGAGCCGCGCCGGAAGCUGUACAAGGUGAAGGCGAGCUGGAAGGCCACGGGGUGCCCAGGGAUCAUCUACCGCAGUGCGACGGGCGAGAAAAUCGGGACAAAAAGGAUCCUCACCUACUAUUCCGGCGGCGUCGAGUGUGAUAAGUGGAGCAUGAACGAGUACGUCAUGACAGGCAGGGCAGGGCUGGAUCAGUGGAUCUUGUGCACAAUACAGGAGAAGUUACACUGGGAGGCCAAAAGCAGCAAACACGCAGCAGGCAAGAUGGCAGAAGACACUAGUAGCAAAGGCAAGACAGUGGCAACAGGCGCUAGAAAGGUGCCCAAGACCAAAAGACAGAAGAAGGAGAAGAUGGACCCCUCCCAGCCACAUAAAACUCAGGAACAACUGCAGCAACCACAGCAAAAACAAGAGACCACACCUGACGUAUUCUCCGAACCGCCAACAAUGUUUACAAGUGAUCACCAUGCUUUGCAUGAAGAAGAGAUCAUGGAGCAGGACUUCACAACCAAGAUGAUCCAAGUCGUUGUCCAGCAAGAACACCCAUAUGGAGAUCAGCAUUACCUUGACGCCCCAGCGCCACAAGAGACAACAUACGAAGGACCCGGCGAGCCACCGUUGAAGCCGCACCACCAGCAUGGUUACCAUGCUUGGCUGGAAGAGCAACAACAUCAGGAGCUUGAGGAUCCGUUCUCCGUUCAACAUCAGUUUGACCCAUUCAACACCAUGAUAUUUCAGGGCCACACAGGUCAAGAACCAACACCUGGGUGGUGGCAGCAGCACCAGCCAAGCUACAUAGAUAAUUAUCAUCAGUUUUUCCUGCCAGCCAAUGGCAUGGAGCAUGCCAGCGGGUGUCAGCUUCCGCACCAACAGACUCUUUAUCCGCUUGGAACACCAGGAUCCCAUGGGGACUUCAAACCAACUUCACAACAUGAACUGCAAUUCCCAUUGGACCCCGCAAAACCCAACGAGCAGCAAACAAGUCCCGAUUCUGUGCUCGGCGUGUGUCAACAUUGUCAGCUGACUAGUGCGGAUAAGGUCGCGUGCUCCCUAUGUUGUUGUGGUGGAUUUAAUUCGGAGAUGAAGUAA
rnacentral:rRNA from 1 species